AGAGCAAAUCAGUCUAUCGCUUUUUUAAAGAGGAAAGUCCGGACAGCACAGAGUAUCACACUUCCUAACGGGAAGGUCCAUUUAUGGAACAGACAGUGCCGCAGAAAAUAUACUUCCAGUAAUUAAUUAUUGGUAAAGGUGAAAAGGUGAGGUAAGAGCUCACCGCAUUUUUGGUGACAAAAAUGGCAUGGUAAACCUUGUGAGCUGCAAGACCAAGUAUAUCGAGAAUUGAGGGCGACUCGUCCAAUCUCGAAGGGUAGGUUGCUAGACUCUAAUCGUGAGGUUAGAGCAAGAUAAAUGAUAGACAGUCAAAUUGUUAUUCAAUGAGAUGUACAGAAUCCGGCUUAUGAUUUGCUCUUUUU
rnacentral:RNase_P_RNA from 2 species